CUACGUGCCAGCAGCCGCGGUAAUACGGAAGGUCCGGGCGUUAUCCGGAUUUAUUGGGUUUAAAGGGAGCGUAGGCCGUGGAUUAAGCGUGUUGUGAAAUGUAGGCGCUCAACGUCUGACUUGCAGCGCGAACUGGUCCACUAGAGUGUGCACAACGCAGGCGGAAUUCGUCGUGUAGCGGUGAAAUGCUUAGAUAUGACGAAGAACCCCGAUUGCGAAGGCAGCUUGCGGGAGCACGACUGACGCUGAAGCUCGAAAGUGCGGGUAUCGAACAGGAUUAGAUACCCUGGUAGUCCGCACGGUAAACGAUGGAUGCCCGUUGUCAGGCUGUAUCAGUCUGGUGACCAAGCGAAAGCAUUAAGCAUCCCACCUGGGGAGUACGCCGGCAACGGUGAAACUCAAAGGAAUUGACGGGGGCCCGCACAAGCGGAGGAACAUGUGGUUUAAUUCGAUGAUACGCGAGGAACCUUACCCGGGCUUGAA
rnacentral:rRNA from 1 species